rnacentral:rRNA from 1 species
AUUGAACGCUGGCGGCAGGCCUAACACAUGCAAGUCGAACGAGUGGCGGACGGGUGAGUAAUGUCUGGGAAACUGCCUGAGGGAGGGGGAUAACUACUGGAAACGGUAGCUAAUACCGCAUACAGUCAGAUGUGCCCAGAUGGGAUGAGCUUGGUGGUGGGGUAACGGCUCACCAAGGCGCCGAUCCCUAGCUGGUCUGAGAGGAUGACCAGCCACACUGUAACUGAGACACGGUCCAUACUCCUACGGGAGGCAGCAGUGGGGAAUAUUGCACAAUGGGCGCAAGCCGGAUGCAGCCAUGCCGCGUGUAUGAAGAAGGCCUUCGGGUUGUAAAGUAAUUUCGGCGGGGAGGCGUUAUCUACAGAAGAAGCACCGGCUAACUCCGUGCCAGCAGCCGCGGUAAUAC